rnacentral:lncRNA from 1 species
CACCGUGCCUGGUCCCAAAGUUUUUCAUUAUUAUUACACCUAUUAAGGUGAUCUGUGAUCAGUGAUCCUUAAUGUUACUAUUGUAAUUGUUUUGGGGUGCCACAAACAGCAUUCAGGUAAACCAGCCAACUUAAUCGGUAUUGUGUAUGUUCCAAGUGCUCCACUGACUGGCUGUUCCCCCCUCUCUCUCACUCUUCUCAGGUCUCCCUAGCCUGUAAGACACAACAAUAUUGAAUUUCAGUCCACGCCUCUAAAUGUUCGAGGGAUAGGAAGAGUCGCACAUCUCUCACUUUAAAUCAAAAGCUAGAAAUGAUUAAGCUCAGUGAGGAAGGUGUGUCAAAAGUCAGGAUAGGCUGAAAGCAAGACUUCUUGCACCAAACAUUUAGUCAAGUUGUGAAUUCAAAGGAAAAUUUCCUGAAGGAAAUUAAAAGUGCUACUCCAGUGAGCAGAAUGUAAACUAAAAAUCCUAAGCCCCGCCAACUGACUGAAUGGGCCCCCUCUUGGCCAAGGGGACCUUCAAGAAACCUUAAACACUGAGUUCCCAGCCAUAAUGAGAUGAGAGGUCAGACAUGCCUCCUUAUACCCUCUUCCUUAGAAGUUUAGACACAACAGCUGACCAGCCUUAAUGUUGAAACAGUGAUCAUAAGACAGACAGAAUGGACUGUUUGUGGCAAUAAGAUACCAAAUUAUAAACAGGAUCUAAGGUCAUGCCAAGCAAGGAUUGCGUUACACACCCCUGCACUUAAAGAAUAAACUGUUUUACAUCCGGU